rnacentral:rRNA from 1 species
UACGUAGGGUGCAAGCGUUAAUCGGAAUUACUGGGCGUAAAGCGUGCGCAGGCGGUGAUGUAAGACCGAUGUGAAAUCCCCGGGCUCAACCUGGGAACUGCAUUUGUGACUGCAUCGCUGGAGUGCGGCAGAGGGGGAUGGAAUUCCGCGUGUAGCAGUGAAAUGCGUAGAUAUGCGGAGGAACACCGAUGGCGAAGGCAAUCCCCUGGGCCGGCACUGACGCUCAUGCACGAAAGCGUGGGGAGCAAACAGG